AUCUUUCUGGAGAUCCCUGUGUACCUGAGGCCCUCUAAGGUUGACUGGUCUUGAAAGUGACUGUAUGUAUCCCCUUCCUAUCUGGACUGUGGAGUACAGAGGCUUUCAGGAUGAUCUUCGGCAGCCAAGAAGGUGCAAGCUUCUGUUGCUGUGGUAACAAAUCAGCGCUGUCCCUGGACUGAGUUUUCCCUGGUAGAUGCUAACAUUUGAUAUGAUUAACCUGGACUGCAAGCCACCUUGGCUGCAAGAUGGAAUUAGGCACUGGAGGUACGUUGAGCAAAAGUAUCCCAUGCUUGCCCAGAUGGCUCUGAAGACUGGUGAGGGAAUAAUAGUCUUCCAGUUUUCAGCUCUUCAGUGGUCCAAACAGGAAGUGUAGGUGUGUCAGCACAAUAGUAGAUGAAGCCUACAGGCUUUUCUUUGCCUUCUUAUUGUCAGUCUUAACAAAAACUCCAAGAACUGAUUUAAGAAAUGGACACAGUUCAAAUGCAUUCAAAAUCCUCCUCUCCUUGCUAAUGGCCGCUAACCAGGCAGUGCUGGGAAUCUUUGCUGUUACUGUUCAUGCUGAGGUAAGGCUUUCAGAAUCUUCAGGGCAGUUUUCACUAGCACUAAAUUUGAACCAAAAGGUUGUGAAGUAUUGGCCAGGAAUCUAAAUAUCUCCCCUCCGUAAUGCUUUUAUAAAAAAAUUGCCCUGUACUUAGAGGCAGUCUCAUAAGACUAAAAACAUUAUUUCAUGUACAAAUAUUUCCCAUGGACCAAAAGAACACCACCAUAUGUUAUUCAGAUGACCUGUGUGUUCUAGUUAUUGUAUUUUGGUGUUCAUUCUUCAGAGAAAUCUGAGUGUAACUUCACUGUGCUUAGUGAAGUUUCCUUCGCUCUCUGGUGCUUGUGUACUGAUGCCCUGUCCUUUUAUCAUCUUCAUGGGACAAGGAAAGGUUUGUUUCACCUAAAUUUUCCCAGUCUUUUUUCUCUUAAUAUUAUGAAAUGUCAGUUCAUAUAGGAACUUUGAAGCUCAAGAGGUCCAUUUUUCUAGAAUAUUUCCUAUUUUCCAAGUGAAAUAAUUGUAUAUUCUUCUUGAUGUUCUAUCUAUUUUGUGUGUGUGUUUGUGGUAGCUGUGAAUUUUAUGGACUGUAAAGAUGGAUUAAACUUUGUUUAAUAACCUCUUUCCACUGCUACUCCAUCCUUUCUUUGCUGACACAAAGUAUUUUUUGUUACCAUAAAUUGCAAUUCUUCUGGAAUUCUUGAUUAUGUUUUAAGAUAGUUAUUCCUCCUGCACUGUGCAUGCAGUGUCACAUGAAUGUGCCCUAGAUGACCCGGUGGCUUGGGACAGGGCUUUCAGAAGUUCCAGAUAAGGAAAUUGCCAUAUGAUAUUGGAUGUUAUUCUAUUUUUAUGCACCGUUAAUCUUCCGUGAACUUCUGGUACCAGUGGCUUUUGCUUGAGGAAUUGUACUUUGCUGUCUGUAUUUCUUUACAUGAUAUUUGUUUCAAAAGUAACUUAAACUCUGCUUCCCUUUUUUCCUCUUUUCUUUUCUUUUGGAGGAAUUCUUUUCCAUGCUAAAUCAAUGUUCCUAUCUGCUUUGAGUGUUGAAAGAAACUGCUUGACUACCAAAGGUGUAAAAUAACUGCAAUCUCUCAUUAGCUGCCUGGUGAUUUGAGAACUGACUACUGGUGGCCAUUGUUUACAAGCACCAGCAGUGGAAGCCUGCAGAAUUCCCAUGCAUACUGCUACAUGCAUUCUGAAGAGGGAACACGAAUUGGGAUAUGGUCUCUCUUCAAUUGUUUAGCUCCAUAUUUGAGGCAAAUUCAGUAGAUCAAACCAGUGCGGUUUACUUUUCCUGCAAGUCUGUGCUGGUCUGUUCUACAAAUCAUUCUCAAUUUUGACCAGGUCAGGGAAACCAUUGUGAUAAUUUGCUUAUAGACACCUUCAAAGGUAAGCAUUAGCUGAUGGAUCUUCACUCUGCUCAACAGGAUGAUGCAAAGGAGUUAAUAACACUUUUUAUCUAUAGUACAGGAAGCUGAAGUGUUUUUUUUCCCCUUCCCUCAUCUGCGGCAAAUGAUGCAGCAUCAUUUUGGAGAUGGAUAAGGAACCCAAUGUGAUAAAGAAAACUCACCAGUGACGACAUAUCCCUGUGGCAUGGAAGCGUGAGGUUCCUUCUGAGACUUAAGAUCUGGAGCCUUCCCUCCAAUUCUGCCCUCAGGCCUGGAGUUAUGUAGCAACAUGCUAGAGAAUUUAAAGCACGAAAUGAAAUUUGGGUGAGUGGCGAAACGCUUGAUGAGUUCAGGAAGGGAGCCAAUAUUCACUUUGUCUUUCCCCCAGUCUCUUGUCAACAGCAUUUAUGUGCGGUAACUAAAGAUUGUUCCAGUAUGAGUGUCAAGUCCCAUACUCCUCUUUCUUUUCUCUCCUCCCCUCAUGAUGGAAGAGAACAUUGCUGAACAAACUGAAUUUUCAGAUGGCUAGCUACCUGCCUGCUACUCUUCCAUCAUGGAGCCCAGAGGGCCAUAAGAAUUACUGUUUCUUACAAAGAGCAUUUCCCACAGGGACUUGGGUAAAGAGCUUCCUUUUCAUUUACCUGUUUUUUUUCCGCUCAAGUAGACUGAAACAAGGGAAACUCAGACUGGGUGUAAGGAAAAACCUUUUCCCUGUGAGAACAAUUAGGCUGUGGAGCAGGUUGCUCAGCAGGGUGUACAAGCUCAGUCUUUGCAGAUUUUUAUGACCAGAUUGGAUUAAAGCCAUUGGCAUCCUGCUCAGACCUCACAGCAGAUCAUUCAUUAAGCAGCAAGUUGAAGAAAGAGCUCCCAGAAGGUUUCAUGCAGCCUGUGUUAUCCUACGAACGUGAAUUUCCCCCUAAGCCCCAGGCAGUGCAACCAUGUUUGAUGCAAGUCUGCAUGGACAAACAAGAUCCCACAUUUUCAGCAUUACUCACCUAUGUAAAUUCAGCGAAGGCUUUGGAUAAUCUACUCCUGACAUGUAUUCUUAAUAUUAUAAGUGAU
ensembl:lncRNA